GCAUAGAUAUCACAUAGAACACCGAUCGCGAAGGCAGGUGACCAACCAUGUACUGACGCUGAUGGACGAAAGCGUGGGUAGCGAACGGGAUUAGAUACCCCGGUAGUCCACGCCGUAAACGAUGGAUACUAGCUGUGGGGACUUCGGUCUCCGUGGCCAAGCGAAAGUGAUAAGUAUCCCACCUGGGGAGUACGUUCGCAAGAAUGAAACUCAAAGGAAUUGACGGGGGCCCGCACAAGCGGUGGAGCAUGUGGUUUAAUUCGAUGAUACGCGAGGAACCUUACCAGGGCUUAAAUGCAGGCUGCAUGGGGUAGAGAUACCCCUUUCUUCGGACCGCCUGCAAGGUGCUGCAUGGUUGUCGUCAGCUCGUGCCGUGAGGUGUCAGGUUAAGUCCUAUAACGAGCGCAACCCCUACCGUUAGUUGCCAGCAUGUCAAGAUGGGGACUCUAACGGGACUGCCGGUGCAAACCGUGAGGAAGGUGGGGACGACGUCAAAUCAUCACGGCCCUUACGUCCUGGGCUACACACGUGCUACAAUGGCCGGUACAGAGGGAAGCCACCCCGCAAGGGGGCGCGGAUCUACAAAACCGGUCACAGUUCGGAUCGGGGUCUGCAACUCGACCCCGUGAAGCUGGAAUCGCUAGUAAUCGGAUAUCAGCCAUGAUCCGGUGAAUACGUUCCCGGGCCUUGUACACACCGCCCGUCAAGCCAUGGAAGCCGGGAGUGCCUGAAGUCCGUCACCGAGAGGAG
rnacentral:rRNA from 1 species